UCAGAACGAAACAAUUUUAUUGGACAAGAAAGAGGCCGCCUCUUCCCUUCUAUACCAAAAACACAUUUUAUGAACUUAAAGGAAAAUUACCUAAAAGAACCUUACAUCAAUAUGAAAAUCCAAAAAAUAAAUAUACUCUCAACCCCAAAUUUCACAACCCCCAACUCUCCACGUAAUCUCUCUAUCUCUCAAACAACCUCAUACAACAAAAACUCUCAAACUCUCUUCUAAUAGAAACUUUAGUCCAUCUCCCUAACCUUCUCUUUUUCCAUCUCCAUAUCAAUUUUCAGCCAACUCUUCACCCCUAUCAUAAAACAAAAGAACUAGUUAGCAGUUAAUAGCCAAGCAUGGUAUUAACGAUAUGGGUUUGCUCACGUAUAUGUCAAAAGUCUAUAGAGAUGCUCGAAUUUUCAAACUCUUGUGUUUCAAAACUCCAGCUAUUUCUAUCGAUGUUUCUCUACGAAAAAUCUAAUUCCAUAAAUUUCGAUCGAGUUCAAUGACAAUGUAUUUAACUUUUUUCUUAUCGAUAUGUACUAACACUAACCAGCAAACUAACAUCUCUGUUUAAACUAUUGCUUUAUGUGUUCUACUAACAUCUAACUAACAAUAUUAUUCAAAUCACGCUUAAAAUAGCCAUCAUUUCGUUUCAUAUUAAAUCAUAAACAUCACUUUGCUUUUUUAUAAUAUCACUGCUACUAUUGNNNNNNNNNNNNNNNNNNNNNNNNUGCCACUUAUUAAAAAUCAAUUCAAGAGACCAAUAAUGAGUAUUUACCUGUAAAAAAGUAGUAACUAAAUUAGAGAAAAUAGAUUUUAUCUGAGCAUGUAUGUGUUUGUUUUCUGAUUAAAAACUUGGGAUUUUGUCUAUCCUUUUUCACCUUCUUCUUCAUCUUUUUUACCUGGAAUUGAAGAGAACAAAUCAAAAGGGAUGAUCAGUUCUAAUCGAAAUGACAAAAUCAAAUCAAAUAUAAAUGAAAAUGGGGCUUAAAAUUUGUGAAUGCCAGAAUAGAUAUUUUUCUCUUGUUUGAAUCCCAACAUAACGGUAAUGUGAAGAUCAGAAAAAGAAAGCCAAAAUCGCAAUUUUGAGAAGAGGUAAGACGUUUAGGGUUCUUGUUCUUGUAUCUGAUCUGAAAAUAAAAGAGGAGAAAAGGAAAGAUAAAGAGGAGAAAAAAAGCCGUCGUUGGAGAGAAAAAGAAAAAGAAGAAGAAAGAAAAAAGAGGAAAAAGAGAAAUAGAGGGGGCAGCCGCCGCCAUCGCCGGUGGAGAAGUAUGGAGAGAGAGAGAGGAUUUGAGGAGUAGAGAGCGGGAGGUUAGGGAUUAGAAUGAUUGAUUUCGAUUUAAAAGUGUAAGUUUAUAUUUUCAAUGUAAGUUACGAUUUCGCCCAUCACUC
rnacentral:lncRNA from 1 species